rnacentral:lncRNA from 1 species
CCGAAGAGAAACUAUUACUAACUUUCACUCUGAAUCUAUUGAGAAGAUACUCAAAAAGUUGAAUCAAGAUUGGCUUGGGCAGUUUGCAAGCCAAGAGAAGAUCCAGGCCGAGCUGAUUGGGUGGAAGAAGACGUUGGUGAAGAUUAAUGAGGUGCUAGAUGAUGCGGUGAAGAAACAGACGAAGGAGGAGUUAGUGAAGAAGUGGCUAGGCAAACUUCGCAACUUGGCUUGCGAUGUUGAUUACCUGUUGGAUGAGUUUCAAACGGAAGCUUUCCAGAGGAUGUUGCUGCAAGAUGAUGAUGACGUGGCAUCUAAAGUAAAGGAGGUCAAUGCUAGUUUGCAAGAUAUUGCAUCGCAGAUAGAACUACUAGAUUUGAGAAAAAGAUCAGGUGGAAUGUCUGUCAAUGCCGGCAGAGUAAUCUUGUCGGCAGUGAGACUUGGAAGAGGAGUUAGAGAUCCUGGCGCUGCAACCUUGUCGGCAGUAAAUGACUCAAAAUUUACAAAAAGAGCAGUUAGACCAACAGCGGCAAGACUUGCAGUUUCGAAAGCGGAUCCGUCUGCAUCUUUUCUGGGGAUGCUGAUGCCAACCUUUUAGCUGUUACGAUAGCGGCUCAGGAUCCGGAUAUCCUCUUCAGCGGCGGCGGCAAGAGCUUUCUGACUGGAAGCCGAACAGCAAAGUUUAGCUAUGGAUAUUCCUCCUUUAAUGGUAAAAACUCUUCAAUGGAAGAAUUUUGUGAGGCAACCUUAUCUGCGGUUGAUCGUCAGAAGGUUGCUUUUUUCGGUGUUUAUGAUGGUCAUGGAGGCUCCAGAACUUCAGAGUAUCUAAGAAACCAUCUCUUUAAAAAUUUAAGCAGCCAUCCAGAUUUUAUAGAAGACACAAAGACAGCUAUUGUUGAAGUUUUUACAAACACUGAUGAGAAUUACCUUAGUGAAGAGAAAGGCCAGCAAAAAGAUACUGGGUCAACUGCUUCGACUGCUGUGCUGUUAGGGGAUCGGCUGGUUGUUGCAAAUGUUGGUGAUUCCAGAGUGGUGGCCUCCAGAGCUGGCUCAGCUAUUCCACUGUCUGUUGAUCAUAAACCUGAUCCAGCUGAUGAACGACAAAGGAUUGAAGACGCUGGAGGUUUUGUUAUUUGGGCAGGAACAUGGCGGGUUGGGGGUGUUCUUCCUGUUUCUCGUGCAUUUGGGGACAAAUUACUAAAGCAAUACGUCGUUGCCGAGCCAGAAAUUCAGGAAGAAGAAAUUGAUGGUAUCGACUUUAUAAUCGUUGCUAGUGAUGGACUUUGGAAUGUCAUAUCCAAUGAGGAAGCUGUUGCAAUGGUGGAACACAUAACCGAUGCAGAAGCAGCAUCAAGGAAGCUCAUCACAGACGCUUAUGCACGCGGGAGCUCUGACAACAUUACUUGUGUCGUUGUUCGGUUUGAGAACUCGCGACCAGACACUUGACGUUAUCUUGCGGCUGUUAUAUAGGACUUUGUACGGCGGCCAAGCCAGAAAUAAAAGAAAUUUUCAUUGAUGCAUUUUCCCGUUACACUUUUUGAAAAACUGUUAACUGUGCCGGGCUGCAGCUCAGCUUUCAGUAAGUUGUUCCUCAUUUCUCUGUUCAUGUUUGAUUAAACCUCAGUUGUUAUUUGCCUCAAUGUUCUUUAAGAAGAUUGGGUGGCCCAGCACCUACAGUCUAUUCUUGCGAAUGAAAAUGUAGCAUCUUUUGGACUGGUUUGAAAAUAGAAAAGGGGUCACUAUCAAAAGCGCAAUGGCACUUGCUUUGAAGUUUGAAGGAACCUUUUUUUUUUUUUAACAACUACUUUUCUGGGAAAAACAAAAAUGUACUUUCUUCGCACUUCCCCUUUGUCAACAUCUGUUAGAGAAUAUGCUUCAUGGCAGGAACUACGUACUAAAGUUAAUUAAUCAUUAAUCAGACGACAAAGACAAGAAAGCUAUCAAAAUGAGAGCUAGCAUUUGAUUCAUCGGACUCGACUAGCUUACAGAAUCUGUAAGGUACAGACUGCAGCAUCAGUGGUUGGAUGUGGUUGGAUGUGGAGUGAGAAACUAAACAAUAAAAAAUCGGAUGGUGGGAUGACGGGAGAUGUUUGUUACAGAAUCUGUACCAUAGACAGGUCCUAAUUCAUCAGGUAUAUUAUAUGGUACUAGAGAAAAUUGGAAAGGACAAUUUACUAAGUCGACAACUUGUACAACUAAUGCACGCUAAAAGGUUGACUAAUGAGUACGUGCUAGAUAUCAAGUUAAUAUUUGAUUUUAAGGUGAUGUAUCUUUUAAGGCAUAAUUCAUGUGAAUAAAUGAUUGUAAUUGUGAAAUAAAAAUUGGUAGUUUUUUAUAAAUGUAAUUGUUAUAUUAAUUUUGAAAAAAUAAUAAAAAUAUUAUCAUUUUUUUCAUAGUAUAAAAUAAAAUCAACUUAAUUUUUAAACCACAUCAUAAAAUAUUUUCUAAACACUAUGUACAGUUGAUUAAUUUUAAGUUAUAAUUGCCUGCUCACAAUACGAAACAGGAACUAACCCAAAUAUAUGUUUUUUAAUUCUUGCGAUAUCAUUAGAUGGUGUUUCAGUGCACUAUUUCAUCUCGGCGCAUCAAGUUUUUUUUUUUUUUUUUUCAACAGUUUAUCCAACUGUUUGAAUGGUAACAGAUUGAUUGUAAUUUGAUUUGAAUGUUUAAUAUGGACUGGAUGCAUGGCUCUAGUCAGAGGAAUGGAAUUUCUGGUUGUGUCAAUUUUUUUUUUAAAGUAAAAAAUAAAAGGCGCUCAUAGUGAACUGGAAAAAUCACCGAUUGAUAAAAAUUCUCAUGGAUAGAGUUCAAUUUUCAGACAACAAUUCAAGAAAAUAGAACAUUAAAAUCAGAAUUAUUCUACAUUCCCGUGACAUUCAAAAUGUUGUGGAUCAUUAAAUGUUAAUAAACAAAAGGUCAUCCAACACCGUGGAUCAUUAAUGAUUAUGAAGAACUAAACCACCUUUUUUAAAAAAACAUGACAAUGACAUCCAUGACUCACAACCCAUAAGUCUAUACUGGACCCAUCAACUCACUCAAAGAUUUGGCAAUUCGGGUACGGUCCAGGUUUGGCCUUCCUGAUUAUGAAUUCAGAUGAUAAUUGUUAAUAUCGGAUCCGGAUGUAAAUCCAGAUAUUUCUCCUCCGGGUCUGGUACGGGUUAAACUCGAAAUCUAGCUUCUAGACUCAUCGAAACUGCUUCAAAAUCAAUUUCGUGUGGAUUAAUUAAAAGGGGUACAUUUCAGUUUACUCCUAGACAUAUUUUAACUCAUCUCUCAAAUUACUAAAAACAUCAACAUAUUCUUAUUUGCAGCUCAAAAAUUUAGAGUAAAUGAGUUGGGAUCAUAAUGAUAAAAUUCUUCAUGAAACUUUUUUACUUCUUAAUGAUAAAUAGGGGUGGGCUGAUGUUUUCAAUAAUUUAUGUGGUUAAUUGAAACAUGUCAACUUAUCUAAAAAGUUGUAAUGACCAAGAAGAAACUUUAUGACAAGAACUUUUAUUGAGAUAAUAAUAUUUGUUAUGUCGUGGAGCUCAAUACUUUUCUUUUUUAAAGCAAUGGAAGAAUAUAAAAAUGGAGAGUAGCUUAAUUACAGCGAUUGAUUCCUACAAUUAAUCUCUUAGAAUCAGUUGAUGGUUAUUGCCUACAUAUCAGGGAAUCAAAUCCUAAAGUUUCCUUAAGGUCAUGUUCGAUUUAAAGAAAAGGGAGGAGAGGAAAAGAAUGGAAUGGAGAGGAAGGGAAAAAAAAGGAAUAGAAAAGAGUAGUGAAAUUACAUUUUGUUGUUUGGUCUGAUAUAAAAUUUGAUAAGUAAAUAAAUUAUAAUUUUUUUCUUUAGACAAAUUUAUCCUUUAUCUUAAAUAUUAAACUAUUUAUAUUAAAAAAAAAAAAUAUAUAUAUAUAUAUAUAUAUACAUAUAUAUAUAUAUAUAUAUAUAUAUAUAUAUAUAUACAUAUAUAUAUAUGGUGGUCCGGCAGCGGGGUCCGGCGACUUUCCAGCAAAAUCUGACGGUGGACCGGUGACUUUUCGGUGGAGGUCCAUUUAUAAUAUUAAAUUAAUAAAAUAAAAUUCUAUAAUGGCAUUAAAUAAGUUAAAAAAUUGAAAGUUAAUUUUGAAAACUUUAGUUUCUAAUAGUAAAAAAAUUUAAAUUCUUCAUUACUAAGUAUGGAAUUUAAAUUCUAAUGGAAAUUAAAUUCUUAUAUAUUUUGUCAAACCAAACAAUGGAAAUAAAAAGAGAAUUUAAAUUACUUUCCUCUCCUACAUUCUCUUCUCCCAACCAAACGCCACCUAAGAGAAUUCUAGCCAUUACCAGCCUUCCCUCCCAAGAAUAGCCUUGUCCUCAAGUUUUUAAACUUGGAAAACGUUGUUGCAGCUUGUGUAAGUCUUCCCAUGUUGCAUCUUUUGGAAAUGAAUUGGACCAAUGUACUAGCAGAUGUGUUGUUGGUCGAUUGUAACGUUUAAUCAAUCUGCGAUCUAGUAUAGCAACUGGUUCCAGCUACAAGCUUCCAUCUCCUUAUGUUGGAGGCAAUUCCAAUUGUGGCUCCACAGCUUCUCCAAUUCGCUUCUUGAGGCACGAUACAUGGAAAAUUGGGUGAAUUCGAGAAUCUGGUGGCAACUCAAGCUUAUAAGCCACCUUACCAAUUUGUUGUAUCACCUUGUAAGGACCAUAAAACAUUGGGAAAGCUUCUGAUUUGAUCUUAGAGCAAUCAUUGUUUGUUUAAAUGGUUGUAGACGGAGAUAUACCAUGUCACCUACCUCAAAUUCUCGUUCUGUUCUGUUUUUAUUGGCGGCUUGCUUCAUCCAAUUCUGAGCUUGAUUCAAAUUCUCCUUCAACAACCUAAUCAUAGCAUCUCUGGCAAUUACACUUUCCUCAAGAGUAGUAACAUUAGAUUCUCCUGGAGUAUAUGUGGUAUAAUUGAGGGGUGGUAUUCCAUAAAUAACCUUAAAAGGAGUUGUUUUAGUAGAUAAAUGAAAUGAAGUAUUAUACCACCAUUCAGCCAAGGUUAACCACUUUGCCCACUCUUUUGGCCGAUCUCCAGUCAUACAAUGCAAAUGUUGCUCCAAACAUUUGUUAACAAUCUCGGUUUGCCCAUCGGUUUAAGGAUGGUUGGCUGAACUCAUGUGAAGCUAGGUUCCCUGAAGUGUAAACAGACCUUGCCAGAAUUUACUACAAAAGAUCCGAUCUCUAUCACUUAUUAUAGUUCUCGGCAUGCCAUGUAACUUGUAAAUAUUAUCCAAGAAUGACUGUGCUACAUCCAUAGUUUUAUAAGGAUGGCUAAGUGUCAUAAAGUGAGCAUAUUUACUAAGCCGAUCGACGAUCACAAAAAUAACAUCCUUUCCUUAAGACUUUGGCAGGCCUUCAAUAAGUCCAUGGAAAUGUCAGUCCAUACUUGAUCUAGAAUGCGCAGAGGUUGAAGUAGUUUAGGAGUGGAGAUGUUUUCUGUCUUAUUUCGUUGACACCAUCACAUUCAGCCACAAAUGCACAAACAUCUUUCUUUAACUUCUUCCAAUAGAAAGCUCUUUUAACUCUCUUUAAAGUCUUCUUAACAUCUGAGUGACCUCCGUUUGGCCCGUUAUGAGCUUCCUGUAACAAUGCCAUCUUUAGAUUUGAAUUUGCCACCAAUCACAAUCAUCCUUUAUAUCUAAGCUGAUUGUGAUCCCAAGAAAAUUUUUUAUUAGCUAAGGGAGUGUUUUGGAUUUCCUUAUUAGCUUCUGAACCUUCAAAUCUCCUUCUUAUUCUCUUUUAAGUUGAUCAAUCCACUCAGCCACUGGAAAACAGAGAGUUAUAAUACCAAUUGAUUCAUCAGACUGCCUUAACAAUGCAUCAGCUACUUUAUUCUCCCUUCCACUUCGAUACGACAUCUCAAAGUCAUAGCCAAUUAGCUUAGUUAACCAUUUAUGCUACAUCGGUGUUGAUAUAUAUUGUUCUAACAAAUACUUAAGGCUGAAAUGAUCAGUGCAUGCCUUGAACUGUCUCCCAACAGGUACGGUCGCCAUUUUUGUACAAUAAAUACUAUUGCCAGCAUCUCCCUUUCAUAGGUUGAUAAACCUAAAUUUUUUGGUGAUAAUGCCUUGCUAACAAAAGCAAUGGGCCUUUCCUCUUGCAUAAGAAUAACCUUAAUUCUGCCAUCUGAUGCAUCACACUUAAUAACAACUGUUUAGAAAAGUCAGGCAUGGCUGGUACAGGUGCAAAAGACAUAGCUACCUUAAGCUUUUCAAAAGCUUUCUCUACUUCAGAAGACCAAUGAAAAUUGUCCUUCUUAAGUAAAUUAGUGAAACGACAACUGAUUUUUCUAUCAUUCCUUAUAAAGCGUCUAUAGUAGCCUGUUAGACCCAAGAAUCUACGUAAAAAUUUCAAUGAUUUCGGUCUAGGCCAUUGUUUCAUGCACUCCACCUUAGUUGGAUUUGUUGCAACCCCCUUUUCAGAAAUCAAAUGUCCCAAAUAUUCUAGCUACUACUUCGCAAAUGAAUACUUGGAUUUUUUGACAUAAAGCUGACUCUACUUAAGUGCUUCAAGUGUGAGAUUGAGAUGACUCAAAUGAUCCUUCCAGCUCCUACUAUAAACCAGUAUAUCGUCAAAGAAAAUCAAAACAAACUUUCGCAAAUACGGCUUGAAGACCUCAUUCAUUAGACUUUGAAAAGUAAAAGAUGCAUUGAUUAACACCGAAUGACAUGACAAGAAAUUAAUAAUGGCCCUAAUGAGUAUGAAAUGCAGUUUUAGGCACAUCCUCUAGGUGAACUCUAAUAUGAUGGUAACCAGAUCUCAGAUCUAACUUUGAAAAAAUUGUAGCUCCAUACAAUUCGUCAAGUAACUCAUCAAUCACGGGAAUGAGGUAUUUAUCCUUGAUAGUCACACUGUUAAGGGCUCGAUAAUCUACACACAUUCUCUAACUACUAUCCUUUCUUUUAACUAAUAAAACUGGUGAAGAAAAAGCACUUACAGUUGGUUGGAUGCUCCCAGUUUCCAAAAGUUCCUCGACAAUUUUCUCAAUCUCGUUCUUUGAACAUAGGGGUAUCAGUAAGGCCUUUCAUUGGGUGGUACAGUUCCUGGCUUGAGAGGAAUUCGAUGAUCAUGUGCACUUGAUGGAAGAAGGCUUUUAGGCUCAGAAAAAAUGUCCUCGUACUGCUGCAAUAGUUCUUGUAACUCUGAUGGCUCAUCUUCCCAUCUCUUCUUUUUUUCUAUAAGCGAAUCAUCUACAUGGAUUGAAAAUAAUUUAGCCACCGUAGUAGGAGUAGUUUGCUUCAAUGCCUUAUCCAUAUGGUCUGGAGAAACUAACUUAAUUGGCCCUGUAGUAGCACCCCUCAGCACAUGUCUUUUCCUAUUAAUCUUAAACUCCAUCCAUAGCCUUUUAAAAUCCCACAAUAUUGGUCCAAGUUCUGCCAGCCAUUGUAUUCCAAGCACCAUAUCACAACCUCCUAAAGGAAUAAGUCUCAUGUCUGCCUGAAAUUCCUUUCCUUGUAUGUUCCAUUGCAACUACCUACAAAUGCCAGUUCUAGUAAUUUUUGUGCUAUUUGCUACUAUUACCAUUAAAGGACUUGUGUGAUGAAUUGUGCAUCCAGUUCAUUUGGCAACUAGUGGAUUAAGGAAGUUAUGGGUGCUGCCAGAGUCAAUCAGGAUUGUUAUAGCUUUCUGUUUGAUGUUCCUUCGUACCGUCAUUGUUUGAUGAGUUGUGGCUCAUGCUAGAGCAUUAAGAGAGACAACAGGUUCUUCUGUGUUUUCAGCUUCAUCGGCUUCAUCUUCUUUCUCUUCAAUCGUGUUAAGUAUAGCUAAAGCUGCUAAGCUGGCUGGCUGGUGACGUGUAUAAGCUGAAGCUGCUGAGCUGGAUUGGGUUGUUGUUCACACUAACUAAGCUGUAAUGGAUUAUCCAGCUGGCUUGAUGUGAUUGGAAGUUUGAUUAGUUUGUUAAUAUAGCAAACGUUGAGCUCUGUUUUGGUUGUUAGUUUUGAGUGUAACUAUAAAUACUGACUAACACGUUUUCAGUGUUAAGCUUGAGUUUUAAUCAAUAAGAAUCUCCUCUGAUAAAGUUUCUUUGUUAAUUUUCUUUCACUUUCUUACUUGCCAAACAUCUUAUUAAUUCUAAUGCGGUAUCAGAGCCUGCACCUAUGUCAGGAUCUAAUCAUAUAGCUUCCUCAUCACUUUCAUUCAACUUUGUUCAACCUGUAAAACUCGAUAGAUCAAACUACCUGGUGUGGAAAGCUCAAGUUAGAACGUCGAUCAUUUCUAAUGGACUUAAAAGCUUCAUCAAUGGUGAGAAUGUAUGUCCAGAAUGUUAUCUCACUGAAUCUACUCAAGAACUUCGAAGAUCUAGAGCUGAAGCAUCACAGAAGCAUGAAAAUCCAGACUAUAUCUUAUGGAUGAAAACUGACAAACUUCUGCAGAGCUGGAUGCUUUCAUCAAUGGUGGACAAUGUAUUAAUCAUGGUGAUCAAUUGUGAAACAUCACUUGAGCUUUGGGAGAUGCUUGCUGGAAUCUUCAUGUCACAAUCCAAAGCGAGAUAUCUGCCUUUGAAGAUGCAUAUUCAAUCAACAAAGAAAAGACCACUUUCAAUUAGUGAUUACUUCAAUAAGAUGAAGAAAAUUGCUGACAGCUUAGCCAUUAAAGGUAAUCCAAUUACUUUGAAUGAAUUAAUUAUGCACUUGCUUACUGGAUUGGAUGAAAACUAUGAAUCCUUAGUCACAAAUAUACUUACUAGAUUGGAAAAAGAGAAACUUACUGUUGAAGAGGUGUAUUCUAUGAUGCUUAGUCAUGAAACUAGGUUGGAAAUGAGCAAAAGAAAAUCACAUAAUGAACCUCUGCAUGAUAUGACAACAAAUUUUGCUAAGAAAGGCCAAGGUUAUAAUAGAUUUGGAUAUAAUCAGAAAAAUGUAGGUGCUGGAAAUUUUAAUGUUUAUGAUAACAAUCAGAACAUGAGUACUAGUCCUGGAAAAGAUGGUGUGUAUCGAAUCUGUUACAUUCCAGGCCAUGGAGCUUAUAAGUGUAAACACAUAUUCAAUCAUGUGUUUAUUCCUAGAAACAAAGGUUUUAGUGGUUUCAGGCCAAUAUGUGGAGGUCAGAAUUAUAAAGGAUUCCCUAAAAAUAAUCAAAAUUAUUUUGGUAGAGGUUCUGGAUACAAUAGUUCAGGUUUUGGAUCUGGAUUCAGACCUAACUUUCCUAGGUAAGCUGGACCUACUGGACCUUUCUUUGGUUAUGUCGCCUAUCAGAAUCCAAGAUUCAUGAACCCUCAAGGUGCCUUUGAUUUUCCAAGUGCAAAUGGUGACUAUAAUGGUGUUCCGACAGCAAACAUGUAUGCUAGAAAUUAUGGCAUUCCUCAUAAUGUUCCUCCCUCUGCACAAUUGGCAAACUAUAGCAGUGUAGCUUAUCCAGCCUGGUACCUUGACUCUGGAGCAACAAAUCACAUUGCUCAAGAUGCAGGUAUACUUUCUAAGUACUCAACUUACCAUGGCCUUGAAAAACUACAUGUAAGAAAUGGUAUGGGGCUGCCUAUUCAUAAUGUUGGAUUUGUUGCUGUUAAAACCUUGACUACAACACCUAUUAACCUAAAUCAUGUUCUGCAUGUCCCUACAAUUACUAAAAACCUUAUCAGUGUUUCCAAAUUGCUUGCUGAUAAUAAUGUUUUUAUUGAGUUUUACAACCAUGUUUGUUUUGUUAAGGACAAGAAUUCAAGAAUCACAUUGCUCAAGGGGAUUGCUAAAGGAGGUCUUUAUCAAGUUUCAAGCUUAAAUGUAGCAUGUGAUAACUCCAGUUCUAUGUUUCCAGUGUCAACCUCAUCUGAGUCUGUUUUUAAUUCAAUAAGUACAUUGUCAGCAGCUCCAGCGUCCUAUGUUUACUCAACUGAGUUCAUUUGAUACUAAGUUUCAUCCUUGUAUGCUUGUAAAUAAUCCUCAAAUCAAUAAGAAUGUCUCUGUGGCUCAUUUUGCUUCAUAUAAUAAGACUAUUGAUUAUAGUUUACUGCACAAAAGAAUAGGUCAUCCAACUACUCAUGCUUUAAAACAAAUCAUGAAAUGCCUGAAUUCAAAUUUUAUUCUUCCCAAAGAUUUAAGAUCACAGUUCUGUAAUGCCUGUCAACUAGGCAAGUGUCAUAUGCAGCAUUUUCCCUUAAUAGAAACCUCAACCACUUAGCCCCUUGAAUUACUACAUGCUAACCUUUGGGGACCAGCUCCCAUUACCUCUUCACAAGGUUACACCUACUAUCUAUCCAUUCUAGAUGACUACACCCGAUACACUUGGAUUUUUGCUCUCACUGCAAAAUCCAAAACCUUGUCAGCCUUUAUUGAAUUAAAAAACAUGAUUGAAAACUGCAUGAACUUGAAAAUUAAAUGUUUACAAACUGAUUGGGGUAGUGAAGUCAGGUCUUUUGUGUCAUAUCUUUCUGACCAAGGUAUACAAUUUAGACAUCCAUGUCCUUAUAUCCACCAUCAAAAUGGAAGAAUAGAGAGAAAACAUAGACAUAUUGUUGAAACAGGUCUUACACUUCUUGCCCAAGCUCACUUGCCACUUAAAUUCUGGUGGAAUGCAUUCCAUACAACCACAUAUCUUAUUAAUAGACUUCCUACACAUGUUCUCAACAAUAAAUCACCAUUUGAGAAACUUUUUCAUAAACCACCAGAUUAUACAUUCAUAAAAGUCUUUGGUUGCUCUUGCUACCCCUAUCUCAGACCUUACAAUCAUCAUAAACUCCAGUUUAGAAGUGAAAAAUGUGUCUUUAUUGGCUAUAGCUCUCUUCACAAAGGCUAUCGGUGUCUUCAUCCUUCUGGCAUGGUGUAUAUCAGUAAUCAUAUCAUUUUUGAUGAGUCAUCAUUUCCCUUCAAGUCAGCUGAAAAUUUUCUGCAAAAUCAAAUUCUAAUUCUUUGCAAUAGUCUAUUUCUUCAAAUUCUUUUGUCUCUUUCACCUUAUCACAGACUACUGCACAACUUGAUAGAUCAUUCUCUCAAUUAGCACCUUCAGCAACUGAUUUUCCUUCCAACUUAAAUUUAUCUAGCUCUAAAAAUCACCCCCUGUCUCAUACUCCUAUUCCUAUACAUCAACAUUCAUCUUCUCAACAUCUUCAUCACCUAUCUCUAUCUUCUCAAUCCACUGAUGGACAUCCUAUGAUUACUCGAUCUAAAAUGGGGAUAUUCAAACCAAAAAAGGCCUAUCUAGUUGAAUGUGAUCCUAAACCAACAGAACCACUCACAGUUUCAGCUGCCCUCAAUGAUCCAAAGUGGCUUCAGGCAAUGAGAGAAGAAUAUUAAGCCUUAGUUAAUAAUCAAACCUAGACACUUGUUCAGCCUACAUAUCCUAUCAAAGUUGUAGGAAACAAGUGGGUGUUUAGAAUUAAACAUAAUGCAGAUGGUAGUAUUUCAAGGUACAAAGCCAGACUUGUAGCAAAGGGUUUCCAUCAAACUCAAGGCAUUGAUUACAAUGAAACCUUCAGUCCAAUAGUGAAGGCUUCUACAGUUAAACAUGUUUUGAGCUUGGCUGUUCUUAAUCACUGGUCACUGAGACAAGUUGACAUUAAUAAUGCUUUUCUUAAUGGAUAUCUUACUGAAGAAGUAUAUAUGCAGCAACUCGAAGGCUUUGUGGAUCAAUCCAAACCUGCACAUAUCUGUAAACUUCAAAAGACAUUAUAUGGUCUCAAACAAGCUCCUAGAGCUUGGUUUGAUAGAUUAAAAAUAGUGGUAACUCAACAAUGGGGCUUCAAGAAUUCCAAGUCUGGUAAUUCUCUAUUUUUCCAGAGGGUUCAAGGUCAUCUCUUGCUGGUAUUAGUCUAUGUGGAUGAUAUUAUUGUAACAGGUUCAGACUCUGCACAAAUUCAGCAAGUUAUUACCAAUCUACAAACUACAUUUGCUCUAAAAGACCUUGGAGAACUGCAUUUUUUUCUUGGUAUUCAAGUCACCAAAACUGAUACAGGCUUGCAUCUCUCUCAGUCAAAGUAUAUAGCUAAUCUACUUAACAAGGUUAAGAUACAAGAUUGUACUCCCUGCUCAACUCCAAUGGCUGCAAAUGUUCCACUUACCAAAACUGACAGUGAACCUUUUGUUGAUGCAACUUUGUAUAGAAGCACAAUUGGAGCUCUUCAGUAUGCUACCCUGACCAGACCUGAGAUAUCAUUUCCAGUUAAUAAAAUCAGCCAAUUUCUAGCUGCUCUAACAAUUAAUCACUGGCAAGCAUGCAAAAGGAUUCUUAGAUAUCUAAAGGGUACAAUGCAUAUGGGGUUACAGUAUUCUCAUCAAGGUCCCUUGAACAUAGACUGUUUCAGUGAUGCAGACUGGGCAGCUGACAGGGAUGACAGAAAAUCAAUUGCUGGGUACUGUGUUUACUUUGGCCCCAAUCUGAUUUCUUGGUGUUCAAAGAAACAAGGAGUAGUGUCCAGGUCCAGCACUGAAUCAGAAUAUCGAGCUCUAGCAAUGGAUCUGAAGUUUUGUGGCUUAAGUCCUUGUUGACUGAAAUUGGUAUUUCUCUUGUCUCUACUCCUGUCAUUUAGUGUGAUAACCAAAGUGCAGCUGCUUUAGCAAGUAAUCCUAAAUUCCACUCCCGAACUAAACACAUUGAGCUUGAUGUUCAUUUCUUGCGAGAAAAGAUUGCUAAUCAAAGCUUCCAAGUUAGUUAUGUUCCUAGUUCUCAUAACUCAGCUGAUAUCCUUACUAAAGCUUUAGCUUAUCAUUCUUUUCAUUAUCUGAGAGACAAGCUAACCCUCACUUCACUAGGCUGAGCUUGAGGGGGGAUGUUAAGUACAGUUGAAGCUGCUGAGCUGGUUGGCUGGUGACGUGUAUAAGCUGAAGCUGCUGAGCUGGAUUGGGUUGUUGUUCACACUAACUAAGCUGUAACGGAUUAUCCAGUUGGCUUGAUGUGAUUGGAAGUCUGAUUAGUUUGUUAAUAUAGCAAACGUUGAGCUCUGUUUUGGUUAUUAGUUUUGAGUGUAACUAUAAAUAUUGACUAACACGUUUUCAGUGUUAAGCUUGAGUUUUAAUCAAUAAGAAUCUCCUCUGAUAAAGUUUCUUUGUUAAUUUUCUUUCACUUUCUUACUUGCCAAACAUCUUAUUAAUUCUAAUAAAUCGUAUCAUCACCUUCAACUCCCUUAAGAAGGAAAAAAUGUCUCUUCUUGCAUUUGUGUCUUAGUUCAUACUUUUCGUCGUAAUAAUAACAUAGUUUCUUCUCUCAUCGUUCAUGCUUUCAACUGCUAAAAUCCUUUUUACUGGUGGUAGUUGUCCAUUUGAGGUAUGCUUGGGUGGUCCUGAUUGAUUGAAUUAAGUUUUAAGUGAUGCUUGUGUCUCUUUGAUCAUAGCCUCCAUGGUGAUUUCUUAUAAAAGUGCUAAUCCAAUUGCCUGAGAAAAUGUGUUAGGCUAGAACAUGACCACCUGAUUAUUUAUUGCUUCAUUUAAGCCACUAAUAAAAUAGUCCACUAAAACUUCCUCCAACAGUCCUUUAGUUUUUUCCAUCAGUAGCUCAAAUUGUUCUUAGGAUUGCCUGACUAGAGAAAUUUGCUGCAGCUUGAUAAGUUGCCCCACUGGAUUUUCAUAUUUACCAGGCCCAAAUCUUAUAAUCUCAUCGGUGGAAAAAACCCUCCAAUUCAAAUUUUUAGCGCCUACUUCAUACCUUUGAAACCAUUCUAAGGCUUUCCCCUCCAAAUGAAUUGACACAAAAUUCACCAUCUCCUUCUCCUCAACUCCAUUAUACUUAAAAAAUUGCUCACAUUUAUAAUCCCAACCACUUGGAUUUUCACCAUUAAAAAUAGGGAAAUUCAAUCUUGGAAACUUUUUUUGGAAUUGAUUCAUACUAGUUUAUUGUCCAUGGGGUUGCUUGGUCGCUCUAGCACCUUUCGACAACUCUCCAAGUUUUGCAAAUUUAGCAACCAAUUGCUUAUACUUAAGGUUCAUUUCCAUUACCAGCCUAGUCAAUUCUGUGAUGGCAGCAACUUAUUUGUCAGAAUUUUCCUUCAGUUGUCAAACGACCUCUUCCAUUCGUUUGACUUCCUGUGCUCUAGUCCUCUGACUGUUUUAGGUGGAGGAAGAUUAGAAAUGAGAUCCACCUUGGCUUUGUCAACCUCAAUACCUUUGCUCGAAAUGAUGUGACCGAGAACAAUACUUUGUUUUACCAUAAAAUGGCACUUCUCCCAAUUCAAGACUAAGUUCUUCUCGGUACAUCUCUGUAGAACUAGCGUUAGAUGAUGUAAACAUUGAUCAAACGAGUCACCAAAGACAGAAAAGUCAUCCAUAAAGACUUCAAGGAAUCGUUCAACCAUAUCAGAAAAAAUGCUUAACAUGCAUCGUUGAAAUGUAGCAGGUGCAUUACAUAAUCCAAAUGGCAUUCUCCUAUAUGCAAAAGUGCCAAAAGGGCAAGUGAAAGUAGUUUUCUCCUGAUCUUUUGGUGCUAUGGGAAUCUGAUUAUAUCCUGAGUAGCCAUCUAGAAAGCAAUAAAAUUCAUGGCCUGCUAAUCUAUCAAGCAUUUGAUCAAUAAAUGGUAAAGGAAAAUGGUCUUUACGUGUGACAGAAUUCAACUUUCUAUAAUCAAUGCAUACACGCCAUCCUGUAGUUACUCUAGUUGGUAUCAAUUCAUUAUCAGCAUUGGUAACUACUGUGACUCCUGACUUUUUGGGGACAACUUGUACAUGACUGACCCAUGAACUAUUAGAAAUUGGGUAAAUGAUACCUGCGUCUAAUAGCUUAAGGACUUCUGUUCUAACAACUUCUUUCAUAUUAGGAUUUAACCGACGUUGCAUUUCCCUAGUAGAUUUAGCAUUUUCAUCAAGGUGAAUGUAAUGCAUGCAGUCUACUGGGUUUAUACCUUUUAUGUCCGCUAUGGUCCAUCCUAAUGCUCCUUUGUGCUCUUUUAAAACAUCCAACAACUUACCUUUUUGUUCGUCAUUGAGGGAUGAUGAAAUGAUUAUCGGUAGAGUACUUUCUUCUCCCAAAAAUGCAUAUUCCAAAGUGUUGGGUAAUGGUUUGAGCUCGAGUUUCGGUGGUGAUUCUGAUGAUGGGAUGAGUUUCUUUUCUGAUGGUGAUAGUUGUUCUACUCUUGACUUCCAUUUAUUAGUGUCCAUGGAUGGUGCUGAGUCAAGUAGGGCGUUGACCUCUUCGACCGAUCUGUCAAUAUCAAAAUCCAAACCAAAGUGAGUUAAACAUGUUUGUGAAGGAUCAUCACUAAGGUUUGAAAGAAAAGUAUUAUCAACUAUUGUUUCUAUUAAAUCCACAUCAACAAUUCCAUCAUCUGCACUGUGAGGUUGUUUGGCAAUGUUGAAAAUGUUCAGCUCCAUAGUCAUGUUGCCGAAGGACAACUGCAUAUUUCCAGUCCUACAUUGAAUAUGAGCAUCUGCAGUUGCCAAGAAAGGUCGGCCUAGAAUAAUGGGGAUGUGCUUCCUUGAGUCCUGUAUUGGUUGAGUGUCAAUUACAAUGAAAUCAACAGGAAAAUAAAACUUGUCUACCUGGAUAAGCACGUCCUCCACAAUACCACGAGGUAUUUUCGUGGACCGAUCUGCAAGCUGUAACACCACUGGAGUUGGGUGUAAUUCUCCCAGUCCAAGUUUCAAAAAUACUGAGUAAGGUAAUAGAUUUACACUAGCUCCUAAAUCCAACAAAGCAUUCUCAAUUGUGUGGUUCCCUAUACUACAUGAGAUAGUGGGGGAGCCUGGGUCUUUGCAUUUUAAAGGAAUUUUAUGUUGGAGUAUAGAACUAACAUUUUCUGUUAAAAAUGCCUUCUUUUGAACAUGCAUAUUUCUCUUUUUAGUACAAAGGUCUUUAAGAAACUUGGCAUAAGAUGGAACUUGCUUUAUAGCAUCAAGUAAAGGGAUGUUAACACUUACCUGUUUGAAGAUUUCGAGAAUCUCACCUGUGGAUUUUCCCUUCUUUCCUUUCGUUAACCUCUGAGGAAAUGGAGCUUUGGGAACGUAUUCUUGUGGGUUGGUUUCUUCUUUUUCCUCCGGUGGUGAGUCCUCAACAUUCACAGGUACAAUUUGAUUUUCUUUUGUCACCGGCAUCUCCACUUUGUUGUCGACUUCCUUUCCUUUUCGCAAGGUCAUGACUGCUUUGACCUCUCCAUGCUGCUGUGGUGAACUGGUACUUGCUUCAUGUACCCCUUUAGGAUUAGGCACUGGUUGACUUGGAAAUUUUCCUUUCUCAACAGUCAUUGCCAAGGUCUGAACUGAAGAAGCAAGUUGUCCCACCAUCUUCUCGAGGCUUGAAACUGAUUGAGCUUGUGAAUUGAAGCCUGCUCUCAACUCAUUUCGUAGUCCAUCAAUGGUGCGGUUCUGUUGCUCAAUCGUAGAGUGAGUAGCAUUCUUGAAAUUCUGGAAUGAAUUCUCCCAUGGUCUGGGUUGAGAGUAGUUUUGGUUCUGAUUGUAUGGUCUAAAUGGGGGCUGAGAGGCUUGAGGAUUUUGAGGAAUUGGUUGCAUUGGUGGAGCUGGAGCUGCUGGUCCAUUCUGUUGGAAUCCUUGAGACCAUGAAAAAUUGGGGUGAUCUCUCCAUCCAGGGUUAUAUGUGUUGGAGUAUGGGUUGUAAUUCGAUGGUUUUCUCAUUACACCUAUGGCAUUGGCUUGAUCGGAGUAUGAGUCAUGGUCAUGUGGUUCUGUUGAUUUAGCAGUCGAUAACGAUGCUAUUUGUCGAGCGAGACCUUCAACCAUCUCCUUGACUUCUUUGAUUCCCGAAGUUGACUCGCCAAUUUAAACCUCAUUUACUCCCUUAAUUCUUCUAGUAUUCCUGAGUGAUCGACUCCGUUGUUGGGAAUUAUCCGCUUGUCGCUGGAAGAAUUCCCAAAUCUCUGAUGCACUUUUUGACAUUAGCUCUCCUCCACUUGUUGCCAUUAGCCAUUCUUGCACAUUCGGCAAUAAUCCCUCCAAAAAGUAUUGGCAUUGGUGCCAUUUCUCGUACCCAUGAUGUGGACACUUCAAGAGUAGCCCAUUGAAUCGCUCCCAAGUUUCGAAAAACUGCUCGUCCUCUCUUUGUGUAAACUCUGAAAUUUCCCUGCGAAUAGAAUUGAUUUUAUGCACUGGGAAAUAUUUAUUUAGAAAUUUUGUAACCAUUUGUUCCCAUGAUGCAAUGCUAUUAGCAGGCAAAGUAUUUAACCAUGAACGAGCUCUAUCCUUUAAAGAAAAUGGGAAUAAUCUAAGUUUAACAUCAUCGUCUGAAAAAUUUUCAUAUUUAAAAGUUUGACAAAUUGCAUGAAAAUCAUUCAGAUGAUUAUAUGGGUCCUCAUUUUCUAGGCCAUAGAAUGUGGGGAGACAAUUUAGCACACUAGGUUUUAAUUCAAAACUCCUAGCAGCUACAUUUGGGUAUCUUAUGCAUGAUGUGCUCAAAUUAGCUAAGGGACUAAAAUAGUCCUUAAAUGGCCUCUCCUGUGGUGCUUGUAAAUCCAUUCCAAAUUUAUUUUUAAUGUGCUUUUGUGUGCGAAGUGUUUUUUCUAAUUCAAGGUCUAUAGGUUCAAGAUUAGGUAAUAAUGACCUACGACCAUGCAUGCAAAAUAAAUAAAAUAAAAAUAAAGAUGGGAACAAAACAAAUAAAAAUAAAGAAGAGGGAGAAAUUACGAUACUAACCUUAUUGCGCUAUUACAACCUUUCUAUAAAAAUACACAAAAACAAAUACGUGAAAUAAAUUAACUAAAAAUUAAAUUAAUAAAAUACACAAAAAUUACAAAGAAAAAAUAAAUUGAAAAUUAAAUUACAGAAUUUUUUUUAAAAAAGAAAAGAAAUACUAACCUUUAAAUGUAGAUUUACUUUUUUUUUUCUUUUUUUUAAUAAUAAAAAAAUACAAGAAAACAAAUAAAAGAAAUUAUUCACAAAAAUUAAUUCUAUGAAUUAAAAUUACUUACCUCCCCGGCAACGGCGCCAAAAACUUGUUGUGCAAAUUUUAAUGAACUCGCAAGCGCACGCAUCUAUUGUAGUAUAGAUCAAUGGUGACGAGUGUCGAUCCCACGAGGAGGUGGAUUUUAAUUGUGUAUAGAAUUAAUUUUGCAAAUGGUUGAUUGGAUCUGUGGUGGAAAUGAUUUAGAAUAUGCUAAAACUUAAAUUAAAAUGGCAAGAAUAAAUUCUGAAAUUGGAAUUGAAAUGGCGAGAAUAAAUUGAAGAGAAUUCUAUUGAAAUGACGUACUUGGGUAUCUGGAUCCGUAUCAACAUGCAUCAUGGGCUAAAUAUUCCUUAUUAAUACCAAUUAAAUCAUGAGGGGGGAAUCCACACCUCAUGAACCACGCUCUAAUCAAUAUGGUGCUAAGGGCUUAUCGUGCCAAAUAAUAAUAACCUUAUACUAGAGAGCCGGUGUAACCAAGGCGGUAUCUAGACAAGAUCAGUAUUAUUUGUCGACGAUAAGUCAAAUCAUCCACAAAAACUAGAGGGGAAAAGAAAAUAAAUUUACCAAAUAAAGCCCAUGACACAUGUUGAGACUUCACCUUCAACCCAAGCUUGAAAGGAAAUUAGCUACUCAUAAUUGAACUAGGGGCAAAAUGGGAAUUUAUUAAAAUACAAAGAAAAUACAAGAUGGAGAAGGAAUUACAGAAAAUGGAUCCCAAAAAUGGAUUCAGAGAUAUCAAAUUAGGGGGGAGAGGCCCCCUUUUUAUAGAUACAUGGAGUAAAUCAUGGCCAUCAGAUUAAAAACAGUUUGGACGCUCAGGAUUGCGCCACGUCAUCAGUCAACAGUCCACGGUUUGACCACGUGGAUGAACAGUAAUAUGGUUUGACCUGGAUGAACAGUAACACGAUUUGGUUGAAAAUAAUCCUGUGUGAUGCAUGCACCGUACGCGAGAUUUUUCGUCCACUGAUAUGCUGCCACGUCACCAUCAACAGUACAUAAGAAUUUUAGUCCAACAGGAUCGUGACACCUCAUCAGUCAAUGCCACAUCAUCGGUCAAUGCCACAUCAUCGUCCGUCAAUGUGAACAGUAUCGUGAACAGUAACGUAUACAGUACCGUACACGUGAAUAGUACCGUACAUGUGAAUAGUGCCAUUUUUCCUUUUAUGCCCCUCCUAAGGUUUUCGACCGUCCUGAGUUCAAAAGUGAUGUCCGUUUUGCCGUCUGAUCUCUCCUUUAUUGUGAAAUGACUAUAAUGCCCUUAAAAUACAUAAAAUACUUAAUUAAAAUAACACACGCGUAAUUACAUCACAAGAAGGUUAAAUACAUAAAAGUAAGAGUUGUUAGUAAGACUUGAAAUGUAAAAUGAUGGUUUUCUCCUUUAUAAAUAUGCAUUUUCUAACACUCAACAAUGACCUUACAAGACCAAAUCAUGUGUUACAUGACCUAGUUAUAAUCGGCACAAUCCAUCGAUUUUUCACAAUUUACAUGCAGCAAAACAACUAAAAAUUUAUUUUUGAAUAUAUUAUGAGAGGCCCACAACUAAUUAAUCUAUUUUUUCAAUAUAAAACCCUAAAUUUUUUUAUUUUUCCAUAAAUAUCAACAAGAAAGUUAAUUAUAAGGCAUUACUUACCUCCAAUAGUUAAAGGAUCAACUCUCACCGGUGAUUGUGCAGUGACGAAUUAGGCUUCUUGAUUUACUCGUAUUGAUAUUCGAUUUAGCAUGUAUGAAGUAUGAGUGUUUGUUUAAGCAAAGUAGUUAUGUUUGAGUUGAAAUGUUUUAAAAUAAGGAUAAUUUAGUAAUUUUAUAUUAAUUUUUAAAAGAUAUUGAUGAAAAUUUUGGUGAAUUCUGUUUUUAGAGUAGUUAGAUAAUUUUUAAAGUAUCAAGUUGUAUCUACUGCAAUUUCCUCGUAAAUUGGAUCCCAAAAAAAAAAAAUUGAUCCAAUAGAAAAAACCUAUAAUAUGUUGGUCCACCAACAAUGCGGCCAAAUUAGCCUUUCGCUUUGAGCUUCCCCUCGUGGACUGUUGUAACUUGUAAUCCCCAUGGUCCCAAUUACCCACUAAUAUACUAUUAUCCUAACUUUUAAUCCAAACCGUUAGAUACAAUUGCUCAAAAUCCAACGGUUGUCGUGAAAUCUAAAAAGUCAACCGUGAAAUUCAAAAUGAAUUUUGCAAAGAGAAAUGAAAGGGUAGUUUAAUACUUUAAUUAGUCAUUAAUGCCCUCUAUUUUCCAUUUGAAUCAGAAAAAGGAAGCCACCGGACCGAUCGACACUCGACGGACAAAAAAAUGCCAAAGUUCACUCUUGACAAUUCCUUUCGUUUCGGCAGCCGAAACGAAACUAUCACUAACUUUCACUCUGAAUCUAUUGAGAAGAUAAUAAAAAAGUUGACUAAAGAUUGGCUUGGGCAGUUUGCACGCGAAGAGCAGAUCCAGGCCGAUCUGAUUGGGUGGAAGAAGAUGUUUGUGAAGAUUAAUGAGGUGCUAGAUGAUGCGGUGGAGAAACAGACGAAGGAGUCAGUGAAGAGGUGGCUAGGCAAACUUCGCAACUUGGCUUGCGAUGUUGAUUACUUGCUGGAUGAGUUUCAAACGGAAGCUUUCCAGAGGAUGUUGCUGCAAGAUGAUGAUGAUGUGAUGUCUAAAGUAAAGGUGGUCGAUGCUAGAAUGCAAGAUAUUGCAUCGCAGAUAGACCCACUAGAUUUGAGAAAAAAAUCAGCUGGGAAGUCUAGAAAUGUCGGCAGAGUAAUCUUGUCGGCAGUAAGGCUAGGAGGAGGAGGCAGAGAUCCUCCAGGCUUAGCUUUCUCGCGAAUAAAAAUCUUUAGUAAGUCAGAGCUGCUAAAAGCCACCAAAAAUUUUCAUCACUGUCUUGGUAUGG